UCCGGUUUGUCACCGGCAGUCUCAUUAGAGUGCCCUUUCGUAGCAACUAAUGACAAGGGUUGCGCUCGUUGCGGGACUUAACCCAACAUCUCACGACACGAGCUGACGACAGCCAUGCAGCACCUGUGUUCCGGUUCUCUUACGAGCACUCCUAAAUCUCUUCAGGAUUCCAGACAUGUCAAGGGUAGGUAAGGUUCUUCGCGUAGCAUCGAAUUAAUCCACAUCAUCCACCGCUUGUGCGGGUCCCCGUCAAUUCCUUUGAGUUUUAAUCUUGCGACCGUACUCCCCAGGCGGUCAACUUCUCGCGUUAGCUACGCUACCAAGUCCCGAAGAACCCAACAGCUAGUUGACAUCGUUUAGGGCGUGGACUAC
rnacentral:misc_RNA from 1 species